rnacentral:lncRNA from 1 species
AUGGGCCGAAAGAAGAAGACUUUACAUGACUAUGCAGCUGAGUUUACAGACCUGGGGGUAAAACGGCAUGUGAUUGAACACAGUGAGUCUGGGGGCACCUCUGUGGUAGAGACUCUAUACUGCAAAUCCUGUGAGCUGCCCAUGAGGGUGAGGAGGGACCGCAUCCUGGAGCACCUGUCCUCUGGCAGGCAUUAUAGGAACCGUCACCGCAUGAAGCAGCGUGGAGGCCAAACUCCCAUCUUUAUAUCAGCAGCCUCAGACCUGAGUAGCCACCUCCCUGUACAGGUUGAUCCUCCUCCAGCCUUGCUUUCUCAGCCUCCCUAUGUUUUCCCAGGCGUUCCCUGCCUUACCAGUACCAGUGCCAGCAUGGUGCCUUCACCUCCUUCCUACCACAGAGCUUUGCUCCCUGCCCACCUCAGUGCUAUCAGCUCCACAACCAGUGCCGUGCCUGUCAGAGAAGACCAAACUCCAUCUACCUCCACCAACCACCCUUCUGCAUUCACGACUCUUCACGUGAAAAGCCCCGCCGUCCCCUCAGAACAGAAUAGCCAAAGGCUUAUUGUUUCAGAAGCAUCCAGCAGUGUGGCUUCUGGAAGCGGAGUAGGAUGGCUUCUUAGUGAUGGGGCUUUGGGAAGCAGCCUUGGCCUUGCUCUCUUUGGUGUAGGCUCUGGGAACAAGGCAUUGUUUCAGAGCUUAGUGGAAGAAGACAGCUGCUGCCUGCUCUACGUGGUUGAAGAUCAGCUGUCAGAUGUCGAGCAGGCCUUCAGAUCAGACCAUUUGGUGAACACCCGCGUGCUUCGGGAGCAAGAUGCCAACAUUGUACUUAAUGAUCAGCGUGUCUCUGGAGUCAUUAUCUGUUCACCCCCUGAAGCAGCUUCUGAAAUUGUGAUGGGUGCAUUGAGAGCAGGUGGGAUCUUUUAUAACGCUGCUGUGCAUGACGUGGACAUCGUCAGUCUCUUGUUGGGAGAGAGUGUUCCAGACACAGUCUUUUCUUUGGGUCAUGCGUUCUGCUCAGAUGUGGCCUCUUUGAAAGAUGCAGACAGUGUCAUGGUCAGCAUGAAGUUUCCUAGUGGGGCCAUUGUUAGUUUGGAUAUCAGUCAACACUGCACCAAAAGCUGUGACCUGAGAGUGGAGGUUCAUGGUUCUCAAGGAACUUUACGGGUCGAUAAUCAGAAUCCCUUGGGGAUUACUGAGCGUGGAACCUCCGUGUCCAUAUACUCACACACACAUGUCGAUCGGUACCAAGAAGCAUAUAGAGGACUCUUUCGACACUUUCUCAGAACCCUUAAAGGAAAAGAACCCCCAACUGUCCCCAAAGAACAGUUUCUCUGGACCAUUCAGGUGGCUGCAGCAGCUGAGCAAUCCUGGCGGAAUGGGUCAGCUGUCGACUUCAGCAAUGAAGGUUGAGAUAUAAAUGCGAUGUCGGUUAUCAAGAUGGAAAUACUGUGAAGAGGGAAUAACUGACUUAAGUUUUGCUGAAGAAGACAACCUUAUACCUAUUUCCAUUUUCAUUAAUUUAAAAAAAUUAAUUGCAGUGUUUUGUGACUUUAUUUUCACUGGAAACCAUGAGCUGGGAACUUUGGGGAAAUGUGUGUAUAUGGUAAUGGUGUAGCAAGUAAUUUUCUUAGGAUGUUGUAUUAGGCCCAAAAAUGAAGCUUGAAAGGCAUCAUUCUGUUAGUGUGUAUUUUUCCUUGUGUUCGAAGGAGGCAUUUAGGUGAGAAAGGCUGACAUUUUGUUUUUAAAGAACACGUAUGCAUUAUCCAUCCUGAGAAACAUACCAGCCAUUUACUUCCCACACUGUGGCAACAAAACAUGCUUCUGUGAAAAUAGGUUUGUUGCCCCCGCAUGGAUAUGUGGUCUGUUUUGGGGGGCGAGGGCGGGGAGGAAGGAUGGAGUGAUGCUCCUUUUUCUUUUGAGACGGGGUGGGACAAACAGUCUAAGAUAGGGCUCUUUUCCCCCUCAGACAGUCAAAUCUAGAUGAGAUUGUGUAUAAAUGUUACAGAAAAAGAUAGUGCCUUCCAAAAUGGGCCACUCUGCUUUAACUCAAGUUUGGGGUUAUCUUUUUUAUUCUUAUGUCAGACUUACUGCAGAUGUUUUUAUAUAUUUGAAGAUUCUUGUCUGUAAUUUCUCAUAUCCUACUUUUUCAAAUAAAAGUAAGUUUUCUAAC